rnacentral:lncRNA from 1 species
UGAUGCGGUAGAUUUCGAGUUGUGCAUAGCCAUUUCUGCGAAGACGAUUAAGAAGUAAUCAAGAAAUCAAGAAGUGGUGAGCUAGAUUGAUUUGGAUGAAUAGAAGAAGAAGUAAAGAAUCUGAUACCUGCUUGCCUGUAAGGAGAAGAUCCAACCAAUAAGCAAACCACCUUUAGCUGUGCUUAUCGUCUCCCAGAAACGGAUUAACCGGAAGCCUAGUUCUGAUUCAGAUGUUGGGUAAAUACACAGCGACAUAAGACAUUCCAGAGGACUUAGCAGAUCUCAUGGACAUAGCUUGAUCUUCGACUGAAGAAGUCGUAGAUUACGGUAUAUAUAAGAAUCGAGAAAUAGAUCAUACAGGAGGUGAGAGGAUACAUCUUGUAAGAAGGUGUAAAGAGCAGAAACAAUGAUUUUAGAGUGGAUAGUUACUGCAAAGUAACGGAGAUUUGGAGAGAAUGGAACAAUGGCUACGGAGAGAAAUUGUAAGAGACUAUUGACUAAAGAAGGAAAUCGUGGGUUUCGUCGGAAAAUGUAACAUGGGUCUGAAAUGGGCCACAACCAAAUUUUAGAAGACCAAAACAUUUGGCCCAUGUCGAUAAAGAGGAUGUAACGUGGCAAAAUAGGACAUCGAAU